rnacentral:tRNA from 9 species
AUUAGCUCAGUUGGUAGAGCAUCUGACUUUUAAUCAGAGGGUCGAAGGUUCGAAUCCUUCAUG